GACGAACGCUGGCGGCGUGCUUAACACAUGCAAGUCGAACGGAAAGGCCCUGCUCUUGUGGGGUGCUCGAGUGGCGAACGGGUGAGUAACACGUGAGUAACCUGCCCUUGACUUUGGGAUAACUUCAGGAAACUGGGGCUAAUACCGGAUAGGAGCUCCUGCUGCAUGGUGGGGGUUGGAAAGUUUGGGCGGUUGGGGAUGGACUCGCGGCUUAUCAGCUUGUUGGUGGGGUAGGGGCUUACCAAGGCUUUGACGGGUAGCCGGCCUGAGAGGGUGACCGGCCACAUUGGGACUGAGAGACGGCCCAGACUCCUACGGGAGGCAGCAGUGGGGAAUAUUGCACAAUGGGCGGAAGCCUGAUGAAGCAGCGCCGGGUGCGGGAUGACGGCCUUCGGGUUGUAAACCGCUUCCGCCUGUGACGAAGCGUGAGUGACGGUAAUGGGUAAAGAAGCACCGGCUAACUACGUG
rnacentral:rRNA from 1 species